rnacentral:rRNA from 1 species
UACGUAGGGGGCUAGCGUUGUCCGGAUUUAUUGGGCGUAAAGAGCGUGUAGGCGGCCACACAGGUCUGCUGUGAAAACUCGAGGCUCAACCUCGAGCUGUCGGUGGAAACCGUGUGGCUAGAGUCCGGAAGAGGAGAGUGGAAUUCCUGGUGUAGCGGUGAAAUGCGCAGAUAUCAGGAAGAACACCCGUGGCGAAAGCGGCUCUCUGGAACGGUACUGACGCUGAGACGCGAAAGCGUGGGGAGCGAACAGG